UGCCAGCCGCCGCGGUAAUACGGAGGGUCCAAGCGUUAUCCGGAUUUAUUGGGUUUAAAGGGUGCGCAGGCGGAACUUUAAGUCAGUGGUGAAAUCUUGCCGCUUAACGGUAAAAUUGCCAUUGAUACUGAAGUUCUUGAAUGUAGUUGAGGUAGGCGGAAUGUGUUGUGUAGCGGUGAAAUGCAUAGAUAUGACACAGAACGCCAAUUGCGAAGGCAGCUUGCUAGACUAUUAUUGACGCUGAGGCAUGAAAGCGUGGGUAGCGAACAGGAUUAGAUA
rnacentral:rRNA from 1 species